rnacentral:lncRNA from 1 species
UCGUUGAAAAGCAGACUAAGGUCUACCUUCAGGUAAUAUACUGUCACCCACAAACCUUUGCACCAAGUUCCAGCCUUCUAUUAGCUUCCUUCAUAACUCCCAAGAAAUCUUUUACUCUAUCAAGAACUGCAAAUAUUGCAGAAAAUUUAUUAGUUACCAACAAAUAUAUUUUUAACAUCCAUCUUAUACUGUUUCUUUUUGUUUUAGGCAAGAAUUGGAAAUCUAGUUCAGUGAGAAAUGGCUAGUAAUUAUCAUCAUACAUGCAACAACACAGAUGAAGAGUUUUACCUUAAAUCUCUUAUUCACGUUUGCGUUUUUUCCACACUGCCUGUAGUGCAUCUAGCAUUUUCUCCAAGAAUAAUAAUUUCUCAAAUGUUUUGACCACCCAGGAAAUUUAAACUAACGAC